UGGAGAGCUGUAGACGUAUGGUGGAGGAGGAGACUUGUAUACAACCUUAGGGGAUGGAGAAUAGUACGGUGGUGGUGGGGAACUGUAAACAUAUGGUGGUGGAGGAGACUUGUAGUCUACCUUUGGGGAUGGAGAGUAGUAUGGUGGUGGUGGAGAGCUGUAGACGUAUGGUGGAGGAGGAGACUUGUAUACAACCUUAGGGGAUGGAGAGUAGUACGGUGGUGGUGGGGAACUGUAAACAUAUGGUGGUGGAGGAGACUUGUAGUCUACCUUAGGGGAUGGAGAGUAGUAUGGUGGUGGUGGAGAACUAUAGACAUAUGGAGGAGGAGGAGACUUGUAUACAACCUUAGGGGAUGGAGAAUAGUAUGGUGGUGGUGGAGAGCUGUAAACAUACGGUGGUGGAGGAGACUUGUAGUGAACCUUAGGUGUUGGAGAGUAAUAUGGUGGUGGUGGAGAACUGUAAACAUAUGGUGGUGGAGGAGACUUGUAUACAACCUUAGGAGAUGGAGAGUAAUAUGGUGGUGGUGGAGAGUUAUAGACGUAUGGGGGAGGAGAAGACUUGUAUACGACCUUUGGAGAUGGGGAAUAACAUGGAGGAGGUGGUGGACACACACAUACAUGUGGGUGUGGUGGAGAUUUGUAGUGUACUUUAGGAGAAGGUGAGUAGUAUGGAGGUGGUGGAGAACUGUAAACAUAUGGUGGUGGAGGAGAUUUGUAGUGUACUUUAGGUGAAGGUGAAUAAUAUGGUGGUGGUGGAGAACUGUAC
rnacentral:lncRNA from 1 species